rnacentral:misc_RNA from 1 species
UACGUAGGAUGCGAGCGUUGUCCGGAAUUAUUGGGCGUAAAGCGCGCGCAGGCGGUUUCUUAAGUCUGAUGUGAAAGCCCACGGCUCAACCGUGGAGGGUCAUUGGAAACUGGGAAACUUGAGUGCAGAAGAGGAGAGUGGAAUUCCAUGUGUAGCGGUGAAAUGCGUAGAUAUGUGGAGGAACACCAGUGUCGAAGGCGACUCUCUGGUCUGUAACUGACGCUGAGGCGCGAAAGCGUGGGGAGCGAACAGG